UAAUUGUGUUUUCUAGCAAAA
rnacentral:piRNA from 1 species